AGUGAACGCUGGCGGUAGGCCUAACACAUGCAAGUCGAACGGCAGCACAGUAAGAGCUUGCUCUUACGGGUGGCGAGUGGCGGACGGGUGAGGAAUACAUCGGAAUCUACUUUUUCGUGGGGGAUAACGUAGGGAAACUUACGCUAAUACCGCAUACGACCUACGGGUGAAAGCAGGGGAUCUUCGGACCUUGCGCGAUUGAAUGAGCCGAUGUCGGAUUAGCUAGUUGGCGGGGUAAAGGCCCACCAAGGCGACGAUCCGUAGCUGGUCUGAGAGGAUGAUCAGCCACACUGGAACUGAGACACGGUCCAGACUCCUACGGGAGGCAGCAGUGGGGAAUAUUGGACAAUGGGCGCAAGCCUGAUCCAGCCAUACCGCGUGGGUGAAGAAGGCCUUCGGGUUGUAAAGCCCUUUUGUCGGGAAAGAAAAGCAGCAGGUUAAUACCCCGCUGUUCUGACGGUACCCAAAGAAUAAGCACCGACUAACUUCGUG
rnacentral:rRNA from 1 species